rnacentral:rRNA from 1 species
UACGUAGGCAGCAAGCGUUGUUCGGAGUUACUGGGCGUAAAGAGUGCGUAGGUGGUGCCCUAAGUCUGUUGUGAAAUCUCCCGGCUUAACUGGGAGGGUGCGGUGGAAACUGGGGUGCUUGAGUGUGGGAGAGGUAAGCGGAAUUCCUGGUGUAGCGGUGAAAUGCGUAGAGAUCGGAAGGAACGCCGGUGGCGAAAGCGGCGUGCUGGACACCUACUGACGCUGAGGCGCGAAAGCCAGGGGAGCGAACGGG